AGGUCUCAAGCGUUGUUCGGAUUCAUUGGGCGUAAAGGGUGCGUAGGCGGCGCGGUAAGUCGGGUGUGAAAUCUCGGGGCUUAACUCCGAAACUGCAUUCGAUACUGCCGUGCUUGAGGACUGGAGAGGAGACUGGAAUUUACGGUGUAGCGGUGAAAUGCGUAGAUAUCGUAAGGAAGACCAGUGGCGAAGGCGGGUCUCUGGACAGUUCCUGACGCUGAGGCACGAAGGUCAGGGGAGCAAACGGG
rnacentral:rRNA from 1 species